AACGAACGCUGGCGGCAUGCCUAACACAUGCAAGUCGAACGAGACCUUCGGGUCUAGUGGCGCACGGGUGCGUAACGCGUGGGAACCUGCCCUUAGGUUCGGAAUAACUCCCCGAAAGGGGUGCUAAUACCGGAUAAUGUCUUCGGACCAAAGAUUUAUCGCCUUUGGAUGGGCCCGCGUUGAAUUAGCUAGUUGGUAGGGUAAAAGCCUACGAAGGCGACGAUCCAUAGCUGGUCUGAGAGGAUGAUCAGCCACACUGGGACUGAGACACGGCCCAGACUCCUACGCGAGGCAGCAGUGGGGAAUAUUGGACAAUGGGCGAAAGCAUGAUCCAGCAAUGACGCGUGAGUGAUGAAGGCCUUAGGGUUGUAAAGCUCUUUUACCCGGGAUGAUCAUGACAGUACCGGGAGAAUAAGCUCCGGCUAACUCCGUG
rnacentral:rRNA from 1 species